CUUUGUUUUGUUCACAUAAUAUCAAUGUGUACCUCAAUCUAAACAUAGUUGUUGUUUUAAGAAAUGAUUUGGUCGUAGGUUGAUGAUUAGAGAUGUCUCGUUAUUUUCCCAAAACAAGAACGAUUACUAAAAACAUGUGCAAAUACUUUGUCAAAGAAGUUGGCACUAGUCUCAUCCGAUAUAAUUCUAUAUUCAUUGCAACUCUUUUUCUGAUAGAAGGCCACUGUGCGUGUGUAAUAAGUAUAGUUGUAUCAAUAAUUGGCAUUGAAAUCUUUCAUGCAUAUGUUUUUUUCGAUAUUUUAUUCCGAAAGAAAGCGUUGUGUACGGUGUUUAGCUGACCACAUAAAUCCUUCUGUACGGUGCAUAGUUAAGUUGCUGUACACCGUACACAAAAACAAAAUUUUCAUACUCUUAUUACCCAAAAAGUUUCAAGGAAUGAGUAAUCACAGGUAGGUUUAUGAUUGGUAACUAUUACUUUUGCCAUGUAUUAGCUUUCUUUCAGGUAAAACAUGUAAAUGUCUCGACAAUUGUGUCGAAACUGAAAGUUGGUGUUGACAUUCACAACUAUUUGCGCAUUUACAAGUUAAUUGUUCUUAUUAGAAUAUAAAAAUUGUCUUAUAAAUAGGAAAAAAUCGAUGCGAAAAUUAUUUUGGAGCAGGAAUUUCAGAUGUUGAGAAAUGUACACUGAAUGUUGAUAAAACAAAGAUUUUUGCAAUCGUGUCAGUUCAAAAUCGUUCAUGCCGCUUGGUUAGUACCUAUAUCCGCUGUACGAUGAUACACGGUGUUAACAGCUUAAUGAACAUUACAAAGACUAUGUAAGACUUCAGUUCAAGCAAGAUAAUAUAAACUGUUGCUUAAAAUUAUAUUUAUUGCUUCAUACACACAAUGUACAUACAAUGUAUCUUUUAUUUUUUAACAGGAGCUAAAAGAAAAGCCACAAAAAACAAGUUCAAUAUGCAGGUUUACAAUUUGGAAGUGUCGCAGGUUCUUUGGAAUGUCUACAACCUUUCAGGAGAAUUUUGUUUUGAAAAGCAUGGCACAGCAAGGAAAAGAUAUAAGACACUACAAGACAUUCCAAGUGAUUUUGAAUAAGACAACUGAUUGACUUUUUCAAUGUAUUCUUAAAUAAAUCAAAUAGUUGAUGUAAAA